AUUGAACGCUGGCGGCAGGCCUAACACAUGCAAGUCGAGCGAGCGGCGGACGGGUGAGUAAUGUAGGGGGGCUGCGCGAUAGAGGGGGAUAACUACUGGAAACGGUGGCUAAUAUAGCAUACUGUCGGAUAACCCAUAUGGGGUUGGCUAGUAGGUAAGGUAAUGGCUUCCCUAGGCGACGAUCCCUAGCUGGUCUGAGAGGAUGAUCAGCCACACUGGAACUGAGACACGGCCCAGACUCCGACGGAGGCAGCAGUGGGGAAUAUUGCACAAUGGGCGCAAGCCUGAUGCAGCCAUGCCGCGUGUAUGAAGAAGGCCCUAGGGUUGUAAAGUACUUUCAGUCGGGAGGCGUUACCCACAGAAGAAGCACCGGCUAACUCCGUGCCAGCAGCCGCGGUAAUAC
rnacentral:rRNA from 1 species